GAUGAACGCUGGCGGCGUGCCUAAUACAUGCAAGUCGAGCGAACAGACGAGGAGCUUGCUCCUCUGACGUUAGCGGCGGACGGGUGAGUAACACGUGGAUAACCUACCUAUAAGACUGGGAUAACUUCGGGAAACCGGAGCUAAUACCGGAUAAUAUAUUGAACCGCAUGGUUCAAUAGUGAAAGACGGUUUUGCUGUCACUUAUAGAUGGAUCCGCGCCGCAUUAGCUAGUUGGUAAGGUAACGGCUUACCAAGGCGACGAUGCGUAGCCGACCUGAGAGGGUGAUCGGCCCCACUGGAACUUAGACACGGUCCAGACUCCUACGGGAGGCAGCAGUAGGGAAUCGUCCGCAAUGGGCGAAAGCAUGACGGAGCAACGCCGCGUGAGUGAUGAAGGUCCUCGGAUCGUAAAACUCUGUUAUUAGGGAAGAACAAAUGUGUAAGUAACUAUGCACGUCUUGACGGUACCUAGUCAGGAAGCCACGGCUAACUACGUG
rnacentral:rRNA from 1 species